rfam:Trypanosoma cruzi marinkellei strain B7 TcMARK_CONTIG_15179, whole genome shotgun sequence.
AAGGCUCUCGUUGAACAAUCCCACCGGUGAGUGUAUCCAUUUGGUCUCCUGCGUGGACCUGAGAGUGCCAAGA